GGGGGGUUGCAUCGAAAUUGAUAUGUUUGAAUCGGACGAAGGCUUUUUAUUUUAUGCUUAUCAAAAAUAGCGUCGUUUUUAGUUAAGAAUGUUUAGAAAGGACUUUAAACGAAAUGACGUCAUUUCAUUUAACUUGUUAAAAAAAAUAAAAAGCGACGAUGUAAUCGUCUUCCUCGAUUUGAAAUCGAAAUAACCCUAGCGGCA
rnacentral:lncRNA from 1 species